UACGAAGGGGGCUAGCGUUGCUCGGAAUCACUGGGCGUAAAGCGCACGUAGGCGGAUCUUUAAGACAGGUGUGAAAUCCCCGGGCUUAACCUGGGAACUGCAUUUGUGACUGCAUCGCUGGAGUGCGGCAGAGGGGGGGUGGAAUUCCGGCGUGUAGCAGUGAAAUGCGUAGAGAUGCGGAGGAACACCGAUGGCGAAGGCAGCCCCCCUGGGCUGACACUGACGCUCAGGCACGAAAGCGUGGGGAGCAAACAGG
rnacentral:rRNA from 1 species